rnacentral:rRNA from 2 species
GGGUGAUGAGGUACCUUUUGUAGAAUGGUCCGGCGAGUUAUUGUUAUCAGCAAGCUUAAGGUAUUCAGUACCGAAGGCGUAGGGAAACCGAGUGUGAAUAGCGCGCAUGAAGUUGGUGGCAAUAGACCCGAAACCGGGUGACCUAUCCAUGGGCAGGUUGAAGUGGAGGUAAAACUCCAUGGAGGACCGAACGCACGUUCGUUGCAAUGACCGGCGAUGACCUGUGGAUAGCGGUGAAAUUCCAAUCGAACCCGGAGAUAGCUGGUUCUCCCCGAAAUAGCUUUAGGGCUAGCGUUAUGUUAGAUUACCGGAGGUAAAGCACUGAAUGGGCUAGGGGCUGAUAAAGUUACUGAACCCUAUCAAACUCAGAAUGCCGGCUAAUUGAUGCAUAGCAGUCAGACUACGUGAGAUAAGUCUCGUGGUCAAAAGGGAAACAGCCCAGACCCACAGCUAAGGUCCCAAAUAAUUGCUAAGUGGAAAACGAUGUGAGAUUGCCCAGACAACCAGGAUGUUGGCUUAGAAGCAGCCACACAUUAAAAGAGUGCGUAAUAGCUCACUGGUCGAGUGGUCUUGCGCGGAAAAUAUAACGGGGCUAAGCAGUUAACCGAAGCUUGGGCUUGCCGAAGGCAGGGGUAGGGGAGCGUCGAAUACGGGGUGAAGUCGCAGCG